rnacentral:lncRNA from 1 species
GUAACUGUGUAUAUAUAAAGAGAUAGUUUGGAUCAUACGAUAUUAGUAUUGACUACUGAAGGAAAAUAAGUCCUUUCAUUUCACAUCGUUAUCGUGGUCUCGCAGUAAAUCUGAAGACAUGAAAGCCGUCAUCUUAAUUUUAUGUGUGAUAGCCAUCUCCCUAACAGAGGCCUAUUACUAUAGGCAUGGUGGUUAUCGCCGUAUGUACAGACCCCCGAAACCCCCUGUUCCACCAAUUAAUCCACCAGUUCCACCAGUUAAUCCAAGUAAGUCUUUAGCCUCGGCAACUAUCUUCAUAUUAUACACACAUAUAUACAUACAUGCAUACAUACAACACAAACGCAGGCACAGACACACACACAUACAUGUACAUAUAUAUUCAUUCAUCUAUGCGCGUUUAUGUACAUAUAUAUUUGUGUGUGUGUGUGUGUGUGUGUGUGUGUGUGUGUGUGUGUGUGUGUGUGUGUGUAUGAAUGCAUGUUCUCUUUCUCUUACUCAUUUUAAUUUAGAGUAAAUUUUGACCAGCCACCUACUUCAUAGCAAGAGUGUAAAAGAAAGUAUCUUGUUUUAACCAUCAUCCUUUACUUCUUAAGAAGGUCUUGCAGAUUUUUAUAGUUUCAGAUAUUGUGAUCGUUUGUAGCAUAGGAAUUAAGGAUUUGCAUCUCUCCCUAAGAUUCCAAGAUCAGCCAUACUUUGCAGCAGACUGGCUGGUAUAUCAUGUUGCUCAAGUAAUAAUGGGUAUGAAGCUGAAAGUGUAUAUUGGGUUCUGGAUUGGCAAACUCCUUAUCAAUGGUCCAUAAAUGUCCUCUUUUUCAUGCUUCUUUAUAACCACCAUCGUGUCCAAAGGGCAGCUGAUUUCCUCAACAGAACAAGUCUUUUCUUUGUGGUCCCACACAACGAUAUCUAGCCGGUUGCGUUUUAACUUGGUGGCUGAUUUAAUUUUUAAGUUCCACCAAAUAUUCUUUUGACCUCUCGAUGUCAAUAUAGUAGACUUCGUUUGUAUUUUCAGUUUUGUUAUUCUGUUCCAGAUUGUUCUAGCCACCGUAUCAUGCCCCGUGGGAAAAUAUUAUUUGAAAGACAUUCUCGCGCAGUUGACAAUAACGUGGUUGAUGUCUUCGGUCUUCAGUCUUAGCCUAUAUUUACUGUCGGUCAACGUUUUCUGCCUUUUAUGCUGUAGAUGUUUGGUGGAGAUACAUAUUCUAGAAUUGAAUGGAUGUAGCCUUCAAAGUGGGAUAUCAUAAACUUGUCGGUACACCAUGUCAAGCUUUUCACAUGAUCAAUCCCUUCUAUCGUUUGUGUUUUACAUGCCAAGUACCCAUGUGCUAUCUUAUCAGUGAAGUGGUCCUUUUUUUCUGUUGUGCUGAUAAAUAGAUUUUAACAACGCUCCUUGGAGAAAGAUCUGUAGCAGCUCUUAUUUUAUGCCUCUCCUGAAGUUCAUUAGCAAUCCUAAUUAUGGUGUUGGUUUCAUGGUCACAAACCUUGGCAAGAUAGUUACGGGUCUCUUUUCUCUGCAAAUCGUUCUGGUUUGGUCAGCCCGAGACUAUAGUAGAUGACAUUUGCCCAAGGUGUCAUGCAACAAACUAUGUUCUUGGUAAACAGACUUCUUACCACACAGCCAUAUUUGUACAUAUGUGUUCUCUUUCUGUUUCUAAUGUAGAAUAAAUUUUGACUGGCCACCUACUUAGUAAGCAAGGUUGUGAAGGUGUGAUGCUAAAUACGUGUGGCAAUGCUACUGGUUUCACGAUGAAAACAGGACUUAUCUACAAGUCCGCGAACCCGAGGGCCUUCAAAAACUGGUUCAUCCAAUGCUUCAUCCCUCAAGCAAAAGACUUAGUAAAUUAAAUCAAAUUAACUUAAUACAAUACAGUCAGGUCUUUUUUAUGCGUGAAAAUCUAAUAUAAAUAACACGGUUUCACCCGUUGGUAUUUUUGUAAUAUUUGGUUCUCAGAAAUCUGAGUUAAAUAGACCUAACCCUUUACCUUAUUCUCCCAUACAGCCCUAAGCUGCCCAGGAAAUGUAGGCGGUAAAUUGCUUUUUUGCUCUCCGAACUGUCUCAAACCGAGCUUUGUUCCUGUAAGCGGAGUCCCUGGAUGUUAUGCUGGAUUAACUUGUUGCACUCAAGUAUAAAAAAUUAUG